UGCAGUGGCGGAUUACCCUAUGGGAAAUUCGGUACCGUGCCCAUGGCGCUGGAAACACUGGUGCACUGUAAAA